UCUGGGGAGGAUCCAACCUUAGUUUUGGCAACCUUGUUUGCAUGACGGGGUUCAAAUGCUACCGAGCACAAAGCACGCCACGCGCGGCGCGGCGUUGCUGUAGCUUGGCGAGGAACUGUUGUAUUGAGGAUCGAUCACGGUACGUGGUAUCGAUCCAAUAGUCAGAGCAGAAUGCCGUGUUUGGCAGAUUGAGGUUGGUGGUGGGUGUGGAAGAGGAGGGGACCGUCGACAGCGUUGCUGUUGUCACGCAGUAGCAGGGAACCUUCCGAGACAGAUCGUUGGUUUGUACCGCUAGAGGAUUGUAGAGUUCUGAUGAGGACCCGCUUAGGGGCUGAUUUGGCGAUCUGGAGGGAUCGUGGUGGAGUUCGAUUUGGGCGUGGGGAGCGAGCAGUGAGGGAGGGAUCGUGGUGUGGAUCGAUCUAGCCCCGAUCUAGCUUUGGUCGUCAAUGAGCCACGCCCAUGCCGAGGUGCAGGUCGGGGCUCGCCAUGGGAGUAUCCAUGCCGGCGCCGCGGCGUGCAAACAGCGAAGCCGCGAAGCUUGCUGGGAAGCCAGCAGACCAUAUGUUUCCCUCAACCUGAAGAUAUGAUCUAUGCUGCUCCUUCUGGUUUGUGUGUUACUUCCACUGGAUGAUACUCUGUCAUAUGUCGUCGUUGUUUCCUCCCAGUGAAGCCCUCCCAACCGUCAUCUCCUUCCCUUCUCUUGCUGCUCGAUGAAAUUGCGCCUGCUGCUACCUUUGCAUGGUAACGGAGUUCUGUGAAUUUACUCCAGCGGCGAGGAUCCAAUUUCAGUGAAAUCAUGCUACUAUAACUUAAGCGCACGAGGAAGACGAGGGAAUAGUCCUUCGUUGGAGCGGUAUUUUUUUCAAAGAUGGUGUUGGCAUGGAUCAGCACCGGUAAUACCCUAAAUCUUCUGAACUUGACUCCUCUAGCCACACUUGAUGAUGGAAGUUCCACUCAAAUGAAUUUACAAUGUAUUUGGCUUGGAGUUGAUCCCAAAAAAUGAAUUUAUUAUGUCUAUCCAAGAAAUGAAGUUUUUUCGUUCAGAUUUUAGAUCUCUUUAGUUUUAGCUUAGUUCAAGGAUAGAAAAGCUUGCUCCUUAUGGAUUCAACGAGGAAGAACAUUAGCCACUUUUUCAGAGUUGGAUGGUGUGGUGCACCUUCAUCUCGCUGUCCAAUUUCUUAGCUUAUUUGCUUUAACUGUACUAUAGUUAUAUAGCAGGAUAAGGAUCCAAUCUUGUGACACUUCUCCAUUUGCACCAUCGUCAAAAGUUGCACAUGAGUUCAUUCAGACUUUCCGACUUCAGAGAACACCAAGGAGAGUCAAUUGGCCUGAAGGUAUAUAUCAGAUCCUAAGGAAAGGGACCCCAGUUCAAAUUUGUCAGUACUCUGUGCUGUUGGAUAGCCAUGGUAUGUGUUAGUUUUAUUUUACCACAGAAGUUCGAUUCUUGGGAGUUAGAAUAUCAUAUGAAUACAUUACUUUUCUUGUGAAUCCAUUCUCUUUUAGUGCACUAUCUAUCUCUCUAAUCUAUCUAUCAAAGUUUUCAAACAAAUUGACGGCAGCGGUAUUGUGGCGAAUGGCGAAGGUUCUAAAAUGGACGGGAGAGACGUGGUGACGCCCGACUGGGAGACGUACAUAUUGGAGGAAAUAUGAUUCAUAAGGACGUGCGUGCUAUUUCAGAAAAAGUAGCUUCUCUGUUGGAUGGCCCGCCUCAUGGUACUUUUAGAUAUGUAGGUAAAAAAUGGCAUCUCAUAAUUCAUUGAAUGUAGACCAGUAGGGUCAACUACAAAUUGUUCCCUGUAAAUGACUUUCAGUUCUAGCUUUCAUAAAAUAUUAGACAUGUACUCUUUAACAGUAUACCAUGGUUGAUGGUGGUCCUAUGUACUGGUUGAAAUUAUCAUGUUGGAUAAUGUUGCAUUUA